UAACACACACGUCUCCAGGUC
rnacentral:miRNA from 1 species